rnacentral:misc_RNA from 1 species
AUUUUCCCAUCCAAAAUGAAAGGCACAGGAACAAAAAAAAUUUCUGAUGAAAAGAGAAGUAGCGGGAAUAGAAGUAAAAGUAGAAGAAAACUACUAAACAGACAAUGAAAUCCAAAUCAUGUUCUUGGCUGGUAUAAAUAUCCUUAAGUGCAGCCAUUGGUCCCAGCCAGAAAAUGAGAUAACAGUUAAAUGUUAUCGUUG